rnacentral:lncRNA from 1 species
AGGGUUAGAAGGAGUUUAGGGUUAGAAAGGGUUUAGGGUUUAGGUUUAAGCAGGGUUUAGGGUUAGAAGGGGUUUAGGGUUAGAAAGGGUUUAGGGUUAAUAGGGCUUAAGGUUAGUAGGGUUUAGGGUUAAUAAUCCUAAACAUUAUUCUAAACCAAACCUUAAACCCAACCUAAAUCAAACGCUAAACCUUUCCUACUACCUAAACCCUAAAUCUUACCUAACCCUAAACCUACCUAAACCUAGACCUUAACCCUAUCUAACACGAAAUCCUACAUAAACCUAACCAUAAUACC